UGAUUAUGUUAUAUUUCCAGGUGGUGAACACUCCCAUCCACACGAUCAUGAUAUGGACCAUGCUCAUUCUCAUGUUCAUUUUGGACAUGAGCAUUCACAUCCUCUUAAACAUGCACUUCCUUAAAAGAUCUUUUUGUUGGUUUGUCCGUUUUGGAGGAAAACUAGCUGUGGUGCUGGAAAAGAUAACAUUUCAGAUGCUCCAAAUGGCUCCACUCACCAUAUAAAAUCCGUGGUUGAAAAAGAACUUUCUCAUUCUCCAUCAAAUCUUGUGUUUGGUUACCUUAACCUCUUCUCCGAUGGUGUACACAAUUUUACUGAUGGGAUGGCUUUGGGAAGUGCUUUCCUCCUUCAUGGAUCAGUUGGUGGGUAGUCAAGAACUCUGUUUCUGCUUGCACAUGAGCUUCCUCAAGAGGCUUUUGUCAUGGGCCAAGAUCAAGGACAAUCAUCUUUGAUUGAGGGAUUCACGACAGGGGGGUUCGUGUACAUUACAGUUGCCAAAGUGCUAGCAGAAAUGAAUAACGGCAAUAGCUUAGCAAUAAAAAGUACUGUACUCCAAUUAACCUCACUGAUAUCUGGAAUGGCCAUCACACUUUAUAUAUCCCUUGUUGAAUGAAUAUAAAGAACCUUCUAAUAUGUGUUUAGUAGUUUUUAAGAUCAAUGUAAUCCAAGUUGAAUAACAUUAUUCAUUUGUAAAUCAAGAUCACAAUGAUGAAAAUUCUGUUUUUAAAUCAAGAGACCACAAUAUGCCACAUCACUUUAUACA